AGUAGAGAGCCUGACCAAAAAGGGUUACCUUGAUAGGGUAAAAUUAGUGCGUGGACCCACCUCUGCUU
rnacentral:tRNA from 1 species